AGAGCGGUAGCCCGGAGAUGGGUACUGAGACAAGGACCCAGGCCCUACGGGGCGCAGCAGUCGCGAAAACUCCGCAAUGCACGAAAGUGUGACGGGGCUACCCCGAGUGCCAUCCGCUGAGGAUGGCUUUUCCUUGGUGUAACUAGCCGGGGGAAUAAGGAGAGGGCA
rnacentral:rRNA from 1 species